rnacentral:rRNA from 1 species
AUUGACCGCUGGCGGCAGGCCUAACACAUGCAAGUCGAACGAGUAGCGGACGGGUGAGUAAUUGCUGGGAAACUGCCUGAUGGAGGGGGAUAACUGCUAGAAACGGUAGCUAAUACCGCAUACCAUCGGAUGUGCCCAGAGGGGAUGAGCUAGUAGGUGGGGUAAAGGCUCACCUAGGCGAAGCUCCCUAGCGGGUCUGAGAGGAUGACCAGCCACACUGGAACUGAGACACGGCCCAGACUCCUACGUGAGGCAGCAGUGGGGAAUAUUGGACAAUGGGCGCAAGUCUGAUGCAGCAAGGCCGCGUGUAUGAAGAAGGUCUUCGGGUUGUAAAGUACUGUCAGCGGGGAGGCGUUACCCGCAGAAGAAGCAACGGCUAACUCCGUGCCAGCAGCCGCGGUAAUAC